rnacentral:other from 1 species
UCCAACCUGGGGUGUGCGCCAGUUGGUUAUGUCCUCGAGCCGAUAAUGUACACCCAGGGUGUAUCUAGCUUGUUGCCGGUGUGCAUGUCCGCCUGUCGGAAAGCCUUAAGGCAACACAGGUGCGCCCACCUUGAACCUCGGGUUCAAGGCUACGCCGGCAGCGGCACCCCGGGCACUUC